rnacentral:ncRNA from 1 species
AAAGUUUGAUUCUAGCUUUAAAAUUAGUUCUUUUUAGAUUUUAUACAUGCAUACCCCGCUAAACCCGUGAGUUAAAUCCAUUUAUUAAAAAUCCUAAAUCAAAAAAUAAUGAAAUCUUAUUAUUUUUAAGAAACCUCACGUCUGCAGUAUAUAACCCUCACAUUCCUUUGCGAAAGCAAGAAUGGGUCUAAAAUCAAUAGGCUGACCAAAUCUGUGCCAGCAGUCGCGGUUAUACAGAGAGCCUAAAUUAAUUCACUUAGGAUUGUCUGAUAGAGGAAAAUACAAACUUUUGGGGUUCAAUCCAAUUUAUUUACUAUUCUUUUAUCCUCUCUUUAUUCUCGUAAGUCUAAAUAUAAACAAGGAUUAGAUACCCUUUUAUUCUAGACCUUAAACUCAAACCUGGGCACUACGAACACAUGUUUAAAACCCAAAGAACUUGGCGGUACUCUAACCACCCAGGGGAACCUGUAUCUUAAUUUGAUAAUCCCCACACACCUUACUUUUUCUUGACUAUCAGCUUGUGUACUGCCGUCGUCAGUUUACCUCUAAAGAGUUUCAGUAAACUCACAAGAUUAUGCCAUAUCUUAUACGUCAGGUCUUAGUGCAGCUUAUGAAUAAGUGCUUAUGGGUUACAAUCUUCACUAAGAAAGCGAAUAUUAAUCUUAAAACUUUAUUGAAGAUGGACUUGGCUGUAAGACUAAACAACCAAUUUUCUCUGAAUUAGGAAAUCUAGAGUGUGCACAAAUCGCCCGUCACUCCCCUUGAAAAAGGGGAUAAGUCGUAACAUAGUAGGGGUAAUGGAAAUUGCCCCUAAC